rnacentral:misc_RNA from 1 species
GUAUUGGAUUACAAUUAACGUCGUGCGGGACAUAACGUGGGUGUGUAUGAAAAAUAGAAGGACGGCACAUCCCGGGGAGAGCCGACAGCUGCCGGCAAGCCCUACGAACACACGAUUCCCUCAAAUGUGCACAGGUGUGUGUGAGAUGGACGGCAUCAGACGUGCACAUGCCCAACAGGGCCAGCACAGUUCGACACCGCCUUGAAUUUCAUCAAUGAUCCUUCCGCAGGUUCACCUACGGAAA